UGGGGAAUAUUGGACAAUGGGCGAAAGCCUGAUCCAGCCAUGCCGCGUGUGUGAAGAAGGUCUUCGGAUUGUAAAGCACUUUAAGUUGGGAGGAAGGGCAGUAACCUAAUACGUUAUUGUUUUGACGUUACCGACAGAAUAAGCACCGACUAACUCUGUGCCAGCAGCCGCGGUAAUACAGAGGGUGCAAGCGUUAAUCGGGAUUACUGGGCGUAAAGCGCGCGUAGGUGGUUUGUUAAGUUGGAUGUGAAAGCCCCGGGCUCAACCUGGGAACUGCAUCCAAAACUGGCAAGCUAGAGUAUGGUAGAGGGUGGUGGAAUUUCCUGUGUAGCGGUGAAAUGCGUAGAUAUAGGAAGGAACACCAGUGGCGAAGGCGACCACCUGGACUGAUACUGACACUGAGGUGCGAAAGCGUGGGGAGCAAACA
rnacentral:rRNA from 1 species